rnacentral:rRNA from 1 species
CCUGCCAGUAGUCAUAUGCUUCGUUCAAGGACUAAGCCAUGCAUGUCUCAGCGUACAUGGCUCUCCACAGUGGGUCUGUGAAUGGCUCCUUACAUCAGCAGUCGUCUCCGCGGUAGAGUGUGGUUGGCACCACCCUGCCCAGGUGCUCACUUGGACAUCCUCCAAAACCUGGUGGCUAAUACACGCAAGCAAGGGUCUGCCACGUGACAUCCGUCGGCAAUUCCGCUGUCCCAUGUGCGGUGGAUUGCGCCCAGCCGCUGCGAAGACCCGCGCCUGGAAAUGGCAGUGUUCUCUGGUUGACUCAGGCUGGUACCUCCUGGGAGGACAACUGCCCCGGCAGAGUGGUGGCCUCGGCCACAGCACCGCUUGACCGCACGAACUUCUGACCUAUCAGCUUUGACUGUGGUGUAGUGGACCACAGUGGCCGCCACGGGUAACGGAGAAUCAGGGUUCGAUUCCGGAGAGGGAGCCUGAGAGACGGCUACCACUACCAAGGUGGGCAGCAGGCGCGCAAAUUGCCCAAUGCUGAGACAUCUGGCGAGGCAGCGACGAACUGCAGCAAUUCCGCCUGUCCUCUGCGACCAGUGGAACUUGUAAUGGAUGCUAUCCAAACACAGUGAUGAGAAUCAACUGGAGGGCAAGUCUGGUGCCAGCAGCUGCGGUAAUUCCAGCUCCAAGUGCGUAUACUGACAUUGCUGCUGUUAAAACACUUGUAGUCAGCCCCUGGGUGCAGGUCUGCCGGGCGGCCUGGUGGGUGCUGUUCGGCUCUGCUGGGCCUCGGCUCGGUGGGGUCGGGCUGCCAUCUGCUGGGACUCCAACCCCCGGCGGUAUGUUCCUGCACCCGCCUUCACGAUGGUGCUACCGCUCCUGCUCCAAAGCCUCCUUCAGUGGGGGCCCAGGCGGCCUCACGCCAGACGCACGUGUGGGCAAUUGUGGGGUUGACCCCCUGUGGGGCAACCCCCAGCCCGCCUCCGGAGUCCGCCAUCUCUGUCACCGUGGAAAACUCAGUGUGCUCCAAGCAGCCAUCUCUGGCUGAAUGUCUGUCCAUGGAAUGUCAUAGCAUCGACCUGUUGGGCCGCGGAGUUGUGCCGGCCUUGGUGCCCAUUCCAGGGGAAUGUGGAGCUGUCCCCGGUCCGGCUCCGUGGGUGCCACUCGUUGGCCCCCGCGCCCGGUGCCGGUGGGCACGCUCUGAACGGACAUGAUGGGACUGCCCAGGGUGCAAGAUAUUGCCGCGCCAGAGGUGAAAUUCUUAGACCGCUGCACGAUCAACUGCAGCGAAGGCGUUGUGCAUUGGCCUGUCCGUCGAUCAAGAAUGAGAGUGUGGGGAGCAAAGAUGAUCAGACACCGUCGUAGUCCACGACUGUAAACCAUGCCAGCUCGGCGUUGAGGGGGCAAGUACACGGACCCCCGCAGCGCCACGCCCCCUUCAACGAGAAAUCCAAGCCUUUGGGUUCAGGGGGAAGUACUGUCGCAAGGCUGAAACUUAAAGGAAUUGACGGAAUGGCACCACAAGGUGUGGAGUAUGCGGCUUAAUUUGACUCAACACGGGGAAUGUUACCAGGUCAGGACGUUGCUGGGAUGGACAGACUGAGAGCUCUUUCUUGAUCCUUUGGAUGGUGGUGCAUGGCCGCUCCUGAUUGGUGGAGUGAUUUGUCUGGUUGAUUCCGAUAACGAGUGAGACAUCUGCCUCCCACUAGCCCCAGGCUCGCAUUUGUAGGACGGCUUGGCUGUUUCCCGGCCCGGCGGCUUGCCGUUCGGUCCGGGAACGCCAGUUGCCCGUCCGAGAGCCCUGGGUCCAGCUUCUCUGAGGUGCUGCGCACGCCACCAAGUGCACGCAUGCUAGAGCCAACAGCAGGUCUGUGAUGCUCCCAGAUGUCCUGGGCCGCACGCGCACUACAUUGACGCAGUGAAUGUGUUCCGCUCGCCUCGCCGAGACCCGCCUGGAAGUUGGUGGGAAACCAUGUGAGCCUGUGCUGUACUGGGGAUAGAUGAUUGCAACUGUCUGCCUUGAACGAGGAAUACCUAGUAUGCGCAGGUCAUCAGCCUGCACAGAUUGUGUCCCUGCCAUUUGUACACACCGCCCGUCGUUGCUACCGAUGGCAGCAGGAUAGAGCCAUCAGGAGGCCCCGCCGUGGCUUCUCCACGCUCGCCGAAAUCGGGCAAUGUCCUGCUGCUAGAGGAAGCAAAAGUC